AUGCAAGUACAUACAAACGUAAGUCCAUAUAAAGGGCUAUAAUGUAUUCAGUCUUGUUCUAAAUGUAUCACGGUUUUUUUUAAAAAACUCACACCUAAUUUUAUCACUAAUCUAGCACUAAAACUAAAUCAGGUAAUUUGGAUAUAAACUUUUGAUGUUUGAGAAAAAGGAUUUUGUUUUGAAAAGGAAAUGAACACAUAUGAGGAGUGAAAUAAGAACUAAUAAGCACUUUAUAGGAACCCUGUAACAGAAUUUAGGUUUCAGGAAUAAUAUUUACAUAAUUUACUUUGCUAAAUAAUCGCGUA